rnacentral:rRNA from 1 species
GAUGAACGCUAGCGAUAGGCUUAACACAUGCCAGUCGAGGGGCAGCAUGGUCUUAGCUUGCUAAGGCUGAUGGCGACCGGCGCACGGGUGCGUAACGCGUAUGCAACUUGCCUCACAGAGGGGGAUAACCCGUCGAAAGACGGACUAAUACCGCGUACACUCUAUGUUGGGCAUCCAAUGUAGAGGAAAUGAAAUUCGCUGUGAGAUAGGCAUGCGUCCCAUUAGCUAGUUGGUGAGGUAACGGCUCACCAAGGCGACGAUGGGUAGGGGAACUGAGAGGGUGAACCCCCACACUGGUACUGAGACACGGACCAGACUCCUACGGGAGGCAGCAGUGAGGAAUAUUGGUCAAUGGGCGAGAGCCUGAACCAGCCAAGUCGCGUGAAGGAUGACUGUCUUAUGGAUUGUAAACUUCUUUUAUACGGGAAUAACAAGAGUCACGUGUGGCUCCCUGCAUGUACCGUAUGAAUAAGCACCGGCUAACUCCGUG